UCCGGCUUGCACCGGCGGUCUCCUGUGAGUUCCCAUCUUUCAUGCUGGUAACACAGGACGAGGGUUGCGCUCGUUGGCGGACUUAACCGUACACCUCACGGCACGAGCUGACGACAGCCAUGCAACAAGUGUCUUCACGUCUCCUUGUGGGAGAGGGCCCAAUCUCUUGGGCUUACGAUCGAUGUCAAACCUGGGUAAGGUUCUUCGGUUAGUAUCGAAUUAAUCCACAUGCUCCACCGCUUGUGCGGGUCCCCGUCAAUUCAUUUGAGUUUCAACCUUGCGGCCGUACUCCCCAGGCGGGAUACUUAAUGCGUUAGCUGCGACACUGAAUUUUUACAUCCAACGUCUAGUAUUCAUCGUUUAGGGCGUGGACUAC
rnacentral:misc_RNA from 1 species